rnacentral:misc_RNA from 1 species
GAUGAAGAACGUAGCGAAAUGCGAUAAGUAAUGUGAAUUGCAGAAUCCAGUGAAUCAUCGAAUCUUUGAACGCACAUUGCGCCCGCCAGCAUUCUGGCGGGCAUGCCUGUUCGAGCGUCAUUUCAACCCUCGACCUCCCUUUGGGGAAGUCGGCGUUGGGGACCGGCAGCACACCGCCGGCCCUGAAAUGGAGUGGCCGCCCGUCCGCGGCGACCUCUGCGUAGUAAACCAACUCGCACCGGAACCCCGACGUGGCCACGCCGUAAAACACCCAACUUCUGAACGUUGACCUCGAAUCAGGUAGGACUACCCGCUGAACUUAAGCAUAUCAAUAAGCGGAGGA